AAAUAGCCACCGGAUUAAAUAAUCCGGGCCCAUCUCCUUUAUACGGUAAACACCCGUUUCCUUAUCCCCUCUAAAAGCACAGUACAAUUUAGUCGGAACACACUCUCUCCUCUCCUCUUGAGAAUGCACUCUCGCUCUCUCUUCCUCUCCAGACGGUACAAGAAAAUCUCUCGGUCUUUCCUUCCUCUCCAGACGCACCACUCCUAGAAGCUAUAAGCUUCUGUGAAGGAAACGCUAGCUAGUUUCACUUCAGUGGUGUGUUGAUCCUUCCAUGGCACUUACUUCAGUGGAAAUAUUUGUUUUGUUGAUGCUCCCUGUGUUUGUUGGUGUUUAAGGAGAAAGCAAAGCAAAGGGAAGAGUUUGCAAAGCAGCAGCAUGCAUAUAUUUUGGCUAUCUAGACAAACUCUUACUUACUGAAACCAACUUGCAUUUAUAUAUUUUAUGAACUUGGAUAUGUGGUUGGAUUAAUCUAUAUAAUGUAAUGACUGUAGUUGUAUUUUGUGAACCUUCUUUUAUGUUAUUGGAAAAUAUUUUGAAUACGAAGAUUUGUCAAAUUUUUUUCCCUUGUCCUAUCUGGUUCAGUACCAAACACAUUAUAAAUAAUACGGUCAUUAGUUCGAUACUGCACCAAAUGCCCGACUCAUUUAGUCAGUACUAUCCGGUGGCUAUUUAUCAUAUCCGACAAAAGUAGUCAGUACAGUCUGAACUGCCAAACUAGGCCUUAAUCCCAAAACUUAACGUUUUAUCUAAUAUUAGAGGUAGGCAUGGUUUUGGAACAGAAGAUUUGAAGCCGUAGCGUAGUAGAAGACCAUUAAUUCUUGACAAAAUGUAGUUCUUUUCUUAGGUAGUCAUCUUAACAAUUUGGAGUCUCCUUAUUCAUUUUUGUCAAUGGAUUAAGAAUCAGAGUUUGUAAUCAGUUUCUUUUCCCUCAUCCUUUGAUUUGUUAUUAACAUUUCAUUCAUCCAGGAUUCUAACUUCUUUAAAAACAAAAAAAUCUUGUAGGCAGAAAGAGAUCCUACUCCUCUCCACCGUGCUGCAAAGCUGUUAAUCAAUUCUCAGAUGGAGGAUGGUGGAUUCCCUCAGCAGGAAAUGACAGGUACUUUCUUUAAGGGUGGCAUGUUACACUACGCAGCAUAUUGUAAUACUUUCCCCUUGAUGGCUCUUGCAGAAUACUGCAUGCAUGCUCCGCUGCAGUCCAAAGGCGUUUAGUACAACCCAAGAUCAAUAAAUCAUGACUGAUAUAACGAAGCAAAUAAACUUGUAAGAACAGUCUGCAUGAUGCUUGAGUGUGUAACAGUUUGAUAAGGGUAAUUCUAUUUAAUAAGCCCAUAAAAUUGUGCAUUAAACAUUGGAUGAUUUGAGCUGGGUAGCUACCUUAA